GCUCGCCGUCUGGCCGCAGCCUGGGGCCAGGUGCAGGGGAGGGGACUGUAGUGCCCCCAGCUUGUGUCUCCCUCAGUAACUGACUUUGACUUUGGCAUCUCCAUCGACUCAGGCAGCUCCAAGCCCAGACGCCCGUGGGCCUGCUGGGCAGCUGAGCUCCUCCGCGUCUGACCUGCAGGAGGACCCUGGUUUUCACUGCAUCUGCCGUCUCGUCUGUCUGACCGCUCAGAGAACAGCGCCUUGGCAAUGCAAGCUCCGCGAACCCUUAGUGUCCCCUGAGCGCUGGGCGUUCUCUGGAGAGAUGGCCACUUGCUCCUUCUCAUGCAUCCUCCUCACAAACCCUUGUGGGUGACUGUCGGGUACCCAGGUCUGUUCCAGAUCCUGGAGAGAGGUGGGCAGACGGCCAGGAGCAUCUGUGCUUUGUGCAGCUUCUUGUCUUGUUGUGGGUGGUACAGAGAACAAUCUUUAGAAAGAAGACAGAUAUUUUGAAAAAAAAAAUCUGGAAUCAUGAUAGUGACAGAAUAGAAAGAACUCCUGGAGGAGGGGAGAACUGAGCAGAGACUGAGUCAAGAAGGAAUCGGCCGGGUGAGGAUGGACGAGGACAUUCCAGGCAGAGAGGAUGAUGGUGCAAAGGCCCUGGGGCAGGGCUGAGCCUAUGGUGUGUUGGAGGAACCCAAGGGAGGCUGGACUCCAGUGUGGUGAGGGCAGAAAGGAGGAAAAGGGCCCAGCAGAGUCAAGAGCCCCCUGUUGGCCUUGUAGGUGGCUGAGGAGCCUGAAAGUUCAGGGCAAGGGGAGGCCACAGACAGGUGGGUCCCAGAGCAGAGAGGAGCUGGUUUCAAAGGCUCGUGGGGCUGCUGGGGAUGGGGUGGCCCUGAGGGCUGUGGACUUCUCUUGCCCUCUGGGCACCUCUUGCCUCCUGCCUGGCCCCUGCUUGGCUCUGCCCCUUGGACAGGUGGGAGGCCUCGCUCCCUCGCAGUCUUCCUGCUGUCCGCAGGUCGGUCAACCCCAUCCCCUGCUGCCCACCCCCCACCUCUUUCCACUUAUUUUUCUUCCUGGAUCUUACAAAUGUCAAAGAAAACAGUGAUUCCACGGAGACCAGACAGUUCUUCACCAUCUCACGGUCAAGCCGGC
rnacentral:lncRNA from 1 species